rnacentral:lncRNA from 1 species
UUGCUUGUUAAGAAUGAAAUUAGUUUAAACUCGAUUUCACAUUUCAAGAGACACAAGUAAGGUGACGUUUGUUUUUUAACUUAAUGACUUAAAGUUACUUAACUUAAUUAAUUAAGUUAAUUAGAGGUGUUUGUUUUUAUAACUUAAUGAGAUUUUUUAGAUAAUUUUGACUUAAUAAAAUAAGCUAAUUUUUUUGGCUUUUUACUUGCUAAUGUAAAAAAUAUCAUUGUUUUAUAAUUUAUUUUUCAUGUCUAUCCCAAAACUCACCUAUAGAUAUUUACCCCACAUAAAAAUAUCCAUAUUUUUUCUUUCUUAUAUUAUAUAUGAUAAAAUUUGAAAUUUAUGGUAUUUUAUAUAUUAAAAUUCCAAAAUAAUUAUGUAUUCACUUGAAUAUAGUUUUACUUAUAAAUGUUAAAAUAUUGUGGUAUUUAAUAUAUUAUUUUUUUGACAUUCAAAUUUAAUAAGGAUACAAAUGCAAAAGUACAUAUUUUCAGCUUUUUAAGUUGAAAAAAACAAACAACUUAAUACUUAUUUUUCGAGAUUCAGACGAAAAAACAAACAUAUUAUUCAGAUUCAGACAUUUAGACCUAUUCAGAAUUCAGACUAAUUCAAGUUUAUUCAGAUUUCAAACAAAAAAACAAACGCAACCUAAGUCAAUGAGCUGAAUGCUGAUUUACUUGCUUGUUUUUUUCUGCCAAAAAUCUGGAUUUGGAGAAUCCCAUUCUUAUUACAACUCGUGAAGUAGUGUUGCGUAGUGAUGGCAUGUCCCUAGGUUCUGUUCAUGGAUUCUGUUUGCAGACAUGGAUGACUCAUCAGAUAAGUUUCAAAGUCUGGCAACUUUUUGUUGUAAAAUUACUUUUUAUUAUUCGGGUCAUAUGUUUUCCUUCUAUAAUGCAUCUUUUUCAUUAGCUGGAAGUGCAAAGUUUUUAUGCUCUUACUGUACGACCACUUUUUCUUCUCUAAAUAGAUAAAAUGGCAUUUCGUUUUUCAUUUGUGAGGCUACUGAACAUAAACUUUCUGUUAGUUAAAUUGAUUGUCUUUGAUAUCUAGAACUUUUAGUUGUACUAAUUUGUACUUCGAGUAUAUGAGAUUGCCGACUGUAAUGGGAAUUGAUGCCAAAUUAAUUAUGCAUCAGGUUUUUCAGCGUGUUCAUCUUUUAUUUCUGUUAACAUUUUUGGCUUUGGACAUGCUGGAUUGUUUUUGGUUUCAGUGAUACAAAACAUCUAACUAAUUGUCCAAAGUUCUUCAUUCCUUGUGACAUAGCAUUCAAUUGAAUGGUGACUCAUGAAUCAUGAUUGUGUGUUUUGGUAUUUGUAUAAUUGUAUACUAUGUAUUGGCAAGACAAAGUUUGUUGAAACUGAGACUUUUCUCCGCCUUCCAUUCUUGUUUCAUAUUCUUAUGCUAACAAAUCUUGAUCAUGAUGAGUCUCCUCUUUUCUUUACAACCCACAUAUAAAGUCUUGGCCAUAAGCCUCAAGGCCUAUUGGCUAUUACAGCAGUGAGUUCACUCUCAGGAAUCAGAUCUUUCAAAUUCGAGUAAAUUUGAAAAAAUUGCAAAUGUCUACAAAGCAAAUGGUCUAUUGGUCCUUUUUGUUAUCACUCACAACAUUACUCAGAGUAUCUACGUUUUACAGUUGGUUCUGUUGUGAAACAGCAUUUCUGAUUAUUAUAGGAGACAAUUCUUCGAAGCAUGUAUUUGAGAUGCUUGUAGAGCCUUUGGAAUUCUAUGAUUAAUUCGCUUUAAUUUCCAGCCAUAGUUCUACUUGCGUUGACAACUUGAGCUUGCUGUCUUGUGGUUUUAGAACCUGCUAAAGUAAGCGUACACACGACAGUGAAGAAUUGAUCUCUGGGGAUUAGCUAUGUGUAAGUAGACAAAGUAUUGAUCUCCGGGGAUUAGCUAUGUGUAAGUAGACAAAGUAUUGAUCUCUGGGGAUUAGCUAGCCUUUAACAAUCAGUGGUGUUCCCGCUACCGGGGUGACAGAUUGUGUAUUUGUCUCCGAAUCUGGGGCAUAUCUAAAAAGCUAAAAGAUUUACUUUCUAUCUUCAAGCACAAGAGCAUACCAUUAUGAUCUGAUUUAAUCUUGUCCACUAACUUGGCUUUUUUUUUUAAUUUAUAUACCAUUUUGUGCUAUCCAACUACAUUGACAAGACAUAUUUGAGAUCAAAUAAACACAUAAUUAUUAACAAUAAUAAUAAUAAUAAUAAUAAUAAUAAUAAUAAUAAUAAUAAUAAUAAUAAUAAUACUAAUAAUAAUAAUAAAUGUUAAUAUUAAUAAAAAUAAUAUUAACAGUAAUUAAUAAUAACUAAAAUAUAAUAAUUAUGAUAAUAGUUAAUUAAAGAUUUUUAGUAAUUUGGAGCAAUGUAACUCAUUUCAAUUCCAAUGUCAAGACAAUGUAAAUAUAUCAAUAAUAAUACAGUUUAUUCUGAUUCUAAUUCAUACAGUUAAAGUAAAUAAUUUGUUCUUAUUCUCAUUUCUCACUCAGAUUCCAACUCAUUCCGAUUCCAACCCAUUCCGAUUUUCGUUUAGCAAAUGCAGCAUCAAUGUUAUGGGUUGCAACUCACAGUUAGUUCUACAUUGUUGGGUGGAACUACUAGGUUAAAUAUCUAUUUCACUAUUCUCAAGCCAUUGGUCAUCACCUUUAUAUUUGCUUAUUAGAGUUGCUAUUCUAGUUAUUUUUUAAAUUCAAAAAAGUAAUAUUGACUCAUAUUUUCAACAUUUUUCUCAUUUUUUAGGAGAGGAGUUUAUUUUCAGCUUGAGAGUUUUUUUGACUUUUUAUUCUAUUGAGGAUACACUUAUUCCUCUUCAAAUAAUAUUAUAUUAUUUUUUAUAUUAUCAUUAUGAGAAGUACUAUAACUGCAUUUUUGAAAAAAUAGAGGGUAAUUAAGAAUUUGAUUAAAUUUAUAUAAACCUGAUUCUAUUUGAAGUCUUUUUGGGAGAAGAAUUAUGUUUUUCACCCUUUUAUUUGCCUUAUCAGCAAUAGAACACAAUCCACUGAGUCCUAAAAAGACUAUAUGUUAAUACAAACUAUGAGUUACAAGUUAAAUUAAUUAUUUUGCAUAGAUUUGGAUUUUUUUUUUGGUUUAAACAAUUUUGCUUAGUGAUGUGAAGGGUAGUAUCUUUUAUCCAAACAUGAAACUUUAAUAAGAUUUGAGUCGGAUUCACGAUUUCGAAUUAUAAUAUAAUUCCAAAUCCGAUAAUUUUUUAGUUUUGAGAAUAAGUGCAGCUUUUAGUACCCUCUAAAAUACUUAUAACACUUUUUUUAAAUUUGAUUUUUUAAAAGACCUUAGUGUAAUUUUUUAAAAUAUAAAUCUAUAUAUUAAAAUUAAUUAUCUUCUUACAAAAUUCCACCCUUGAAAGAUAUUUCUUUUAAUUUUUUAUUUAUAAAAUAUGUGAAAAUAUUAAAAUCUUCAAUUAUUUUCUUUUUAUUAUAUAAUUUCUAUCUCCAUAAAUUUAAGCUCUCAUAUAAUUUGCUUUUUAAAAAUUGUUUUUGAUUAAAUUUAAAAUAUAAAUACAAAUUAUGUAAUGAGUGGGUGUAAAAGUUUGUUAAGAUCAUAGUUUAUUUAAGCGUUGAAUUGAAAUUAUAUUUAUAAGAAAUACAUUAAUUUAUCUUAAGUUAUUUAAGUAAUUUCAAUAAAUAAAUUUAAAAAAAAAAAAGGAUUUUAUGAGGAAUUUUGGCUGCUUUGAACUUUCUUCCGCAUAACAUUGGGUUUAAGAAGGGUCCAAGGCUCAAUACCAACUAGCGGCCCAAGGAAUCACAAUCACACGUGUCGAACAGCUACGUGGCGUGUACAUUACGCACGGGAGCGCAUCUUAGCCCAACUUUCUCAACAAGCAAUCACUUCUUCAGAGGCCUUCUCUUGUCUCUUUCGGCCCCCUGAAAUUUCGUUAAAUUGCUGUUUAUUUCUUUGUUAUUAUCUGGAUUUGUACACUUACGCAUUUACUAAUUUUCUUAUUUAAAUUAUCCACUAGCUUUUUGUUCUAAUCCAGCUUAUUUUUAUACCGAUGAAUAUCGCAAAACUAAUAAUAAUAACAAUAAUAAGUAAAUAAACGAAUGCGAAAUUUGGGUUUUUAUUUUCUCAUUUUCUUUGUAAUUAGGUCGUUGCAUUCAUUUAAAAUGAUAAUAACAAAAUUUUUGGCAGAAAAAAAGGAAAAUUUUUGUUAUCCGUUUAAUUAUUUUAAAUAGAAAUUUGCUUUUGUUGAAUGAGCCUUGUGGUUUCUUCUUUGUGUCGGGAGCUGAAAGGUUGACUAUCUUGGUUUGAAUACUCGUUCACAAUAAAAAUGGUAAUUAUUUAUUUAUUUAUAUAUAUAUAGGGUUCAAAUUUAUUUGUUCAACUGAUUCAUGAUAUGGGGUCGAUUAGUGUUUUCAUUUUUUUUUUCUGGAGUUUAAGGUUACCAUUUAUUAGAUGUGAUGAAUAUAUAUUUCUAUUUUUAUUCUACAUUGGCAGGUGAAACUUAGCACCUCAGGGUCUGAUUAAGAAUGGAAGUUACAUCUAAUAUGAUCAUGAUUGUACAUUAUGCAUGAGAACAAAGAGUAUUAAGAACAAGAAUUUAACUCCGUAGAAAAUAAAAAUGUGAAAACAUUAGUUAGGUUUUCUCUUAUAGUGCAAUUAAAAUCAUUCGAUAUUAAUCGAUAACUUUAUCUUUUUUUCUUUUCAAAUUAGACAACUAUGCAGUAUAUAUGGAUCCACAUAGAAUCUAGAGAAAUAGUAUAUUUUGGGAUUGAGAAUUAGAAGUUUGAUUAGUAUCUGCAUUAUAUUUCGUAGGGAAUGCUGAGGACAAACGUUUCAUUUAAAGAUGUGCAAGAAAAUAGCACAAAUGAAUCAAAAUUAUUUUGGUCUUUUUAGAAGGUAACAAUUAAGAAAUCGGAUUAUGAAUUAAUGAAAAGUUCUAUGUUUUAAACAUUUAUUGAGUAUUAGGGAUUUAAAAGUAAAUCUUACUCAUAAAAUUAGUAAAUAUAUAUAAAAAUAUCUUUUUCCGCCAAACCCCAAUCUAAGAGGACACAAUUCUUCACCCCUGCUUGCAUUUGCCAAUUUAUUGUAAUUGUUACGAGUUGGUGGGAGUGAUUCAUUAUGAUCUGAUGAUCAGGCUUGUUUUUGCAUAGAAUACAAUGUGGAGAUUUUAAACCGAUGAAACGAAAUACUGCUUAAUUGUGCUGCCUUUGCAGCUGUAUUCCACUUAGAAUUCAUGUUUGCAAAAUGUCAAGGUUGUUGUGUGGAUAGUUUAAGGAGUAAUAUCUUUGAAUAUAGUUGAGUAUGUUUUGCUUUUCACUAGCAUGUCCUAUGCAUCAUUGAUUGUUCAAGUAAAUAACUUAUUUUAAUUUUAAUUCCUUAUUUCGACUCCAGCUCAUUCCAAUUUUAGUCAAUUUUAAUUCUAACCCAGUUUGAUUUCCGAUUAAUAAACGCAUGAAAAGUAAUAAAAAGUUCUAAAGAAUUAGAACCCGUACGCCUCGUUAAGAAAAUUGAGUUCCAAUAUCAAACAUUUUCGACUAAACUUGUGCUCCCAGAAUACAUGUGCAACAUUCUCGACAAAUCAUCAAUGUCUCCAGUAUUUGUUGAAGCGUCACCAGGCUGCAUAGCUUCUAAAAUAGAAUUUACUUUCAAAAUUAAUGAUCAACCAAGAAUUUAGUUAUCAAACAUAGUAUAAAUAUGUGUAGGCUUGCAUUUUAUAAACUCACCCCAUAUACAACAUUAUCUCCCAAUUCGCCACAUUAAUUUGAACCAUGGCUAUUUCAAAGAAUGCAGUGAUUUUCUCCGUGAUGGUCAUGGCUAUUUGUUGUGGGGGUCACCACGGUAGCAAUUGCUCUAGCAUGGCAAUGAUUGCUCCAACACCCCAAGAGGCAUCUGAGGAGACAUAUGACUUACCAACAAUCGAUAAUGUUGAACGACAAGUUGUUUUGAUUCCAUAAGAAAGUGAUUGUGAUUCUACACCCGCAAGAGCUAGGGCAACAAAAGUUGUUCAAAUUCCCCAUGAAGAAGGUGAGUGUGAUUCUGCACCUAAGGAGACAAAUGAUGUCCCAGCGCAUGCAAUCAAUAAUGUUAAAUGACAGAAAGCCGUAUUGAUCCCAGGAGAUGCUGAUUGUGAUUCUGCACCCACAGGUGCUAGAGUUGUAAAAAGUUUCCAAACUGCACCCAAAAAGACUCAAACUAUGCAAGAGGAAGCUGAUUGUGAUUUUGCUCCCGUUGGUGCCAGAACCACAAAGGUGACAAAAGGUCAACCAAUAAUUGUUCAUUCUUAAAAAAUUGACUUGGAAUUUGGGUUUAUUGUCACCUUAAUGAGCCUAAAUUUUAGUGUAUCCAUUAAACGUUUAUUGCAAUUGAAUUACAUAAUAACUUGAUUUCUUUUAAUUCAUUUUUCUGCUCAUAUUUAAUUUGCACUGUCGAUCAAAAAAAGUAAGGAAAAUCAUAAAAUUAUAAUUUUAUUAAAAUAAUUUCAGCAGAAAAUUAAAUUCUCAAGGAGCAACAAAGAGCUCACAGAAAAACCAUUUAUUCUAAAAUAUAGUAAAACAUCUCUAUAGUGAUGAUUUAUAUAGAAAUAACAUCUGUAUGUUCCUCAAAAAGUCAUCAUCAUCCUCAAAUUAAGUAUUUUCUAUAGUAGCGCUAUGAAUAGCACAUAGCAGAGCAGCGCCCAAUACACAGGCAACUCCCAUCAUAUGAAAGGGGUUCAAUGUCCACUUAUAAGACCCUUGAAAAAAAGAAGAAGGAUGAACCGUAAUAUUGCCACUACACCAAAACUAGGCGCAAAGAACUAACAAGACUUCCAACCGUUGUUUUUAGGAUCCGCAUCAAUUAUUCAUUAAAUAGAAGCUACUGUUGGAUAUUUUCCAAAUAAAAGCCAUAUUAUGGUUCUUAUGGGUGGAUUAAUUAAAAAAGCAUCCGUCGAUUUUAAAAACCGCUUUUUAUUAGGUAUUAUUUCUUUUUGUGGUAUUCCACCUCUCGCUUGUUUUUGGUCCAAGGAUGAAAGAUAGGUAAAAUAAGAGAACUCCCUUUUGAGAAUAGUAUAUGAGAACUUCAUCUCGUACCGCUCAAACAAAACCACGCCAAUACUGGUAUGGAAUAGAAAACUAAAAACUUCUUAUUUUUUGAUUCAAUCUUAUCUAAGAAUACGAAAGAAUAAAAAAUUAUAAAGCUAUUCUUCGUGGUUAUAAUUAGAAUGUCUAAUUUGAGAUAGUUAUAAAUAAUAGUAAUUAUUACUAUGCAAAGGUAAGAUAUUCUAUAAGAUGAGAUCUAAAAAAAUUAUAAUUUAUCAUAUGGAGUUUAUUCUUAAAUAAUUUGAUUUCCAGAAGCUAGUACAAAAACAAUUUAAGAAUCUAAUUCCAAAAUAAUCUAUUUUGAAGAGCUUUACCAAACUUAUUUUAUAGUGGUAGAUUAUCACGUAAAUGACUACUAAUUACAAUCUAAUGUAUCCCCACUAUUAAAAAAAUGGUCUUUACUGACAUUAAAAUAGUGACAGUAAUAAUUUUUAAUGACACUUGUUUAAUAUGUUAGUAAUGUGACAAUUAGAAAAUAGUGACACAUAAUUAUCUCAUAGCGGGUUGGUAUUUUCAGACAAGAGGGAUUUGUUCUUGCGGCUUGUGAAUUGUGAAUUGGCUUAUGAUGCUUCGAGACAGUUCUUUUCAAAUGAUAUCCAUUUUUGUUGACCAUAAUUAUGUGGGCUUUCUUGUCUCUAGUGUACCGUCCAGAGCCUCGAGACCUCUUUGUGGUCAAGAGUGGGAAUGUACUGAAAAAAGUUGUGAAGCCAGGAAGAACGAUAGAAAAAUAUGUGAAGCGUGGGGCUGGGGAGUUGUGGCACGCGCUCGCACACUCACACGACUCUUUUCAAGUUUCAAAACAUAUUCUCCAGUGACCUAGAUUAAUAUAUAAUAAGGUGAAAAUGGGUGUUGGUGAUUGAAGUUUGUAAGGGCACUGCAGCUGCGCCCAGAAAGCCAGGUCAAAUUUUAGUAUCUCAAUGACCCUCGUGAAGGAGUUGACGUGAUUUAUAAACGGGCUACACAUGGGUGACAUAAACGGCACCAUAGCCAUUUUGACACUCAUACUCUUGUGUUUAAGUUAAAAGAAACAGCAGCAUCAAAACUGCAGCGGCAUCAAAACUGCACCUCCGUAAAGGUGCCGCUUAUGUCACUAACAUUUAAUCCAAUAAUUCAUGAAGCAACCGGUGAAUAAUUCACCUUAGGAACAUGGCAUGUUUUUUGAGAAGUGGGUGCGAAGCAGAAUUAGAAACAAAUCAUGUGCCAUUAAUUUAAAUGAAACAAUCUUAGGAUAAGUCGAUAGUGAUUAACCAUAUGCAAUGUAUCCCACACUCCGGUGGCAUUUUCAAUUGCCUAGUAACUUAAGUGUCUUUAAAGAGUUCCAAGAUUAUAGACUUGUUUUGAAUUAAGGUUGGGCAACUGUAAUUUAAAAAUUACAGUAUUAAAAUAUUUGGUAAACACUAAUUGUUGUAGUUUGGAAACUAAAUUGAUUUGAUUUUAUACUCGAGUGAAGAAAAAUCUAUUAUAUCUGUUGGGGGGACUUAGCAUAAGAUUUCUAAGUAUCCAACCCAAAAGACUAGCUUUUUAGGUGGAGUGACCUACCACCUUAUAAACCCAAGUAUCUCCCCUUUACUAGCCAAUGUGGGACACAACUCAACAAUCCCCCCCUCGAACGAAACCACUGCCGGACUCCGGUCCUUUCGUCCGACACACCUGAGUUGUUCCACCACCAUAUUUCGGCUACUAGGGUCUAGCUCUGAUACCACUUGUUGGGGGGACUUAGCAUAAGAUUUCUAGGUAUCAAACCCAAAAGACUAGUCUUUUAGGUGAAGUGACCUACCACCUUAUAAACCCAAGUAUCUCCCAUUUACUAGCCAAUGUGGGACACUAUAACCCUUGGUGCAAGUGUGUGAUAUGAUUUUCUUUGAUUGUGUGGUUGGUUUCAAGUGCUUAUACGUAAUUCUUGUCAAAGCUUAGUUUAGUGUUAAUUCCAGAUUAAGGUCAAGUUUCAUAGAGUGGGUCUUGGGGGUUCCAAGUUGAUCUUGGAGAUUGAUUUGGUUUCAACAAAUUGGUAUCAGAGCCUAUCUCUGGUUUCUUGGUCUUUGUAAUGGCGUCAACUAAACUUAAAGUGGAGAAGUUUACAGGUGAAAAUGAUUUCCACCUAUGGAGGCUCAAGAUGAGAGCCUUACUAGUGCAUCAAAGGUUGGAUGUUGCACUUGAUGAUGAGUCAUCAUCCAAGAAGCCAAUGAAAGUAACAGAAGAAGAAUUAUAUGAAGUGCUUGAUAGGGCACACAGUGCAACAAUUCUGAGUAUUGGGGAUGGUGUACUCAGAGAGGUGGGUGGAGAAAAAACAGCAGCAGGACUAUGGAAGAAGCUUGAAGACUUAUACACAAAUAUGUCAAUGGCUAAAAGACUAGCCACCAAAAAGAAGCUUUAUACCUUGCAGAUGGAAGAAGGAUCAUCAAUUACUGAUCACAUUGAUGCUUUUAACAAGAUCAUCUUGGAUCUUGAAGACAUCAAUGUGAAGAUUGAUGAUGAAGACAAAGCCAUGAUCCUGCUCUGCUCUCUGCCGAGUUCCUAUGAGAAUCUAGUGGAUACAUUGAUGUAUGGGAGACAGACUCUCGCUAUGGGAGAGGUAAAGGAAGCUCUGAGUUCCAAGGCUGCAAUUAAGAAAGAAACCAGGGAUGGAGAAUGUCUGACAGCAAGCAGAAGAACUGAAAAGAAAGACACAAGUAAGAACAUGAAGAAGGGAUCAAAAUCCGAGCCAAAGAACUUGAAAUGUUUCCACUGUCAUAAGGAGGGCCAUUUCAAGAAAGAUUGCCCUGAGUUGAAAAACAAGAAAAACAAUACAAAUGAGAAGAGUGGAGAUGCUGCUGUUGCAUCAGAAUUUGAAGAAUCUGAUGGCUAUGACUCAACUGGAGUUCUAAUAGCAACUGAUGCUCAAACAAAAGGUAAUUGGGUUUUAGAUUCUGGUUGCUCCUUCCACAUGUGCCCUAAUAAAAAUCUAUUCACAAACUAUGAAACUUGUGAUGGUGGAAUAGUAGUAAUGGGUAAUGAUUCAAGCUGUAGAGUGGUUGGCAGAGGUUCAAUUAGGUUAAAAAUGUUUGAUGGCAUGAUUAGGGAACUAAGGGAUGUCAGACAUGUGCCUGAUCUCAAAAGAAAUCUUAUCUCUCUAGGAAUGCUGGAUAAAAUAGGGUGCCUAGUUGAACUUGAGUUAGGCAUUUUAAAGGUCUUGAAAGGGUCAAUGGUUGUGAUGAAAUGGAACAUGAGCAAUGGUCUGUAUGUGUUACAGGGAUCUGCUGUCACAGGGGAUGUUGCUAUGUCAAACCAGAAACUAAAUAAAACCAUGCUGUGGCAUAUGAGGUUAGGCCACAUGAGUGAAAUGUGAUUAAUAGAACUAUCAAAACAGGGGGUCUUAGGAGUAGAGAAGAUAAAGUCCUUGAAGUUCUGUGAAGAUUAUGUCCUAGGAAAAUCUUUAAGAGUGAAAUUCAGUACUGGUAUCCAUAACUCAAAGGGGACUCUAGACUACAUUCAUUCUGAUCUGUGGGGGCCUGCACAGACAGCUUCUCUAGGUGGGGCUAGGUACUUCUUAUCUCUAAUUGAUGAUUUCUCAAGAAUGGUUUGGGUGUUUAGUUUGAAGAGCAAAGAUAAAGUGUUUGAUCAGUUUAAGAAUUGGAAAACAUUAGUUGAAACACAGACAAAUAGGAAGGUGAGAAGACUGAGGACAGAUAAUGGGUUAGAGUUCUGCAAUAAGGACUUUGAUGAUUUCUGUACAAACAAUGGCUAAAAGACUAGCCACCAAAAAGAAGCUUUAUACCUUGCAGAUGGAAGAAGGAUCAUCAAUUACUGAUCACAUUGAUGCUUUUAACAAGAUCAUCUUGGAUCUUGAAGACAUCAAUGUGAAGAUUGAUGAUGAAGACAAAGCCAUGAUCCUGCUCUGCUCUCUGCCGAGUUCCUAUGAGAAUCUAGUGGAUACAUUGAUGUAUGGGAGACAGACUCUCGCUAUGGGAGAGGUAAAGGAAGCUCUGAGUUCCAAGGCUGCAAUUAAGAAAGAAACCAGGGAUGGAGAAUGUCUGACAGCAAGCAGAAGAACUGAAAAGAAAGACACAAGUAAGAACAUGAAGAAGGGAUCAAAAUCCGAGCCAAAGAACUUGAAAUGUUUCCACUGUCAUAAGGAGGGCCAUUUCAAGAAAGAUUGCCCUGAGUUGAAAAACAAGAAAAACAAUACAAAUGAGAAGAGUGGAGAUGCUGCUGUUGCAUCAGAAUUUGAAGAAUCUGAUGGCUAUGACUCAACUGGAGUUCUAAUAGCAACUGAUGCUCAAACAAAAGGUAAUUGGGUUUUAGAUUCUGGUUGCUCCUUCCACAUGUGCCCUAAUAAAAAUCUAUUCACAAACUAUGAAACUUGUGAUGGUGGAAUAGUAGUAAUGGGUAAUGAUUCAAGCUGUAGAGUGGUUGGCAGAGGUUCAAUUAGGUUAAAAAUGUUUGAUGGCAUGAUUAGGGAACUAAGGGAUGUCAGACAUGUGCCUGAUCUCAAAAGAAAUCUUAUCUCUCUAGGAAUGCUGGAUAAAAUAGGGUGCCUAGUUGAACUUGAGUUAGGCAUUUUAAAGGUCUUGAAAGGGUCAAUGGUUGUGAUGAAAUGGAACAUGAGCAAUGGUCUGUAUGUGUUACAGGGAUCUGCUGUCACAGGGGAUGUUGCUAUGUCAAACCAGAAACUAAAUAAAACCAUGCUGUGGCAUAUGAGGUUAGGCCACAUGAGUGAAAUGUGAUUAAUAGAACUAUCAAAACAGGGGGUCUUAGGAGUAGAGAAGAUAAAGUCCUUGAAGUUCUGUGAAGAUUAUGUCCUAGGAAAAUCUUUAAGAGUGAAAUUCAGUACUGGUAUCCAUAACUCAAAGGGGACUCUAGACUACAUUCAUUCUGAUCUGUGGGGGCCUGCACAGACAGCUUCUCUAGGUGGGGCUAGGUACUUCUUAUCUCUAAUUGAUGAUUUCUCAAGAAUGGUUUGGGUGUUUAGUUUGAAGAGCAAAGAUAAAGUGUUUGAUCAGUUUAAGAAUUGGAAAACAUUAGUUGAAACACAGACAAAUAGGAAGGUGAGAAGACUGAGGACAGAUAAUGGGUUAGAGUUCUGCAAUAAGGACUUUGAUGAUUUCUGUACAAAACAUGGCAUGGUUAGGCACAAAACUGUAAGACACACACCACAACAAAAUGGGUUAGCUGAAAAAAUGAACAUGACCCUAAUAGAUAAAGUUAGGUGUAUGCUGAUCCACUUUAAGCUACCCAUGAGUCUGUAGGCUGAAUCUCUAGAUACUGCAUGCUACAUAGUAAAUAUGAGCCCUUUUUCUGGAAUCAAUUUCAGAACCCCAUAUGAGCUCUGGUCUGGCAAACCAGCAGAUUAUUCUCAUUUGAGAAUAUUUGGCUGCCCAGCCUAUGCUCAUGUCAAACAAGGGAAGUUAGAGCCCAGGCCUUUAAAUGUGUGUUCUUAGGAUAUCCUGCUGGUGUGGAGGGUUACAAGCUGUGGUGUACAGAUAUGAAGCCUCCAAGGGCAAUGAUCAACAGGGAUGUGGUGUUUAAUGAACAUGAAAUGUUUCAAAACUCAGCUACUGUGAAGCAAACCAUUGAAAGAGAGUCAGGUUGUGACAAGAAGAGUUUUCUUGAGGUGGAGCUUCCAAGCUCCAGCACAGAAGCUGAUAAAAAGGCAAGGCCUGAGAAUGCACCUUGAAGAGAUUUGUCUGAACAAGAAGAUGAAUUAGAAGGUGAUGAUGACCUCAGAGAUUAUUAGUUGGUAAGAGAUAGAAAUAAAAGAGAAUCAAAGCCACCUAAGAGGUAUGCAUAUGCAGACUUGAUUGCAUUUGCACUAUCAACAGCACAGGGAAUAGAAGAAGAUGAACCAAAGACUUACACUAAAGCUGUCAGUAGUAAGGACUCAAAGAAGUGGAUUGCAGCUGUUGGUUGAUUUAUAUAAUCAAUUAUUAUCAAUGCCAAUGUGCAAGUAUACACAACAAGUAAUAAAGUGAUGAAUGUUCAAGAUCGUCUCCACAGGGAUUGAUGUUACUCAAAAUGCUAAAGCUGCUGUACGGCCAAGGCGGAUGUACGGUACAGCAGUUCAUUGAUCCCACCCAAUUUUGAAGUAGGGAGUGUGAUUCCCACUCCGAUGAGGGAAGGUCCACUCCCACAUCUUACUUUUUUACCUUUCUUUUAUUAAAUUUAAUACAAUUAUAUUUAGUAAAAUAAAAAAAAUAAUACCAUAUUUAUUUAAAAAUAUUAUUUUAUUAUUUUAUAAAAUUCUAUUUAUUAAAAGAAUAAUAUUAAUCUUAUUUAGAUAAAAUUGUUAUUAUAUUUAUUUAAAAAUAAUAGUAUUAUAUUUAUUUAAUAUUAAUAAUUAAUAAUAAUAAAUAGUUUAUUUAAGAAAAUAUUAAUUUUGUACUAUAUUAUUAAUAAUAAUGUUUCAUUUGUGUUGCUUUUAUCAAUAGAUUUUAAUUUCUUUGCUCAUAAAUUUAAUGUAUGGCUUUAUGAUCUUUAAUCUCUCUACCCUACAAGGUGAACACCUAUGUCUAGGAUAUCACAAAUCUUAAUUUCAAGCAUUGCCCUUAUGAGAUUUAAAAUAACCUAAUCCAAGAAACUUAACUUAAGAACAAGUAAUACUCUAAUAAUGUCCGCUAAGACAUGCAUUUUUGCUGCUAUAUCUUAACUGAAACUAUUAAAUGGGCGGUCAACCGAAAUAACAAUUAUGUCAUAAAAACUAUUAGAGUAUAAUGCUACAACAUUAUCAUAACAUCUUAUAUGAACAGUCAAGAACCCAUUGGAUUAUUUGUCAUUCAACUAUAAGUAAAUUCAGUUCAUAUUCUGAAUGAGAAAAGUAAACAUAAAUAUACUGAUUGCAGAAUAAAUCCAAUCCACUAAAGGAAGAAAGAUAAUAUGAGUUGAGCACGAUGAAAGUCUAAGGAUCCUCCUCGAUUUUUCAACGAUGCCGAACAACACUCCUUAAUCUUGAUCUUCUUCUUCUCCUUGCCUUUGUAAUUGUUUUUGGAUGAUCAUACAUAUGCCGCUUCUAUGUGGUGCAUGCCUCCUUUAUAUAUUUGCAAAUUAGGAAACAUGCAAAUUGUAAUUUAAUUGCUGACCCGCGCCUAUAUUUUCUCCCACGUUUCUCCCAGAUUGCUGCAGCAUUGGUUGCUCUAACAUCCGCAACAGCACUUGUAUUAUUUCCGAUUGUGCUUUCCUUCUUCUGUGACCAUCUUCUUUCUUCCUCUUUCUCAUCUAAUGCUCCGCAUCCUUUCAUGAAUUUAAAACCUAUAAAUUAAAACCUGUUUUUAGCACAAAUUACUAUGAUUCACGCAAAACUUGUUAAGACUCAACUAAAAUGAAUGUUUAUGCAAAAGUUCACCAAAAUGUAAUCAAAAUACAUUAUUUGCUUUCUAAAUGGCCUUUAUUCAAGUCUAGAACGGAUGUAAUAACUCUCAUUUCCAAGAGUUAUCAGCAGCUAUGGAUGAAGAAAUGAGAUCACUGAUCAAGAACCACACCUGAGAUCUGAUUCCAAAACCAGCAAAGAAGAAAGUAAUUGGCUGCAAGUGUGGAUCUAUAAGAUCAAAGAGGGCAUACCAGGAGUUGAACCACUUAGAUUCAAAGCCAGGCUGGUUGCUAAAGGCUUCACACAAAAAGAGGGGAUUGAUUUUAAUGAGGUUUUUUCCCCAGUGGUGAGACUUGAGGAUUUUGUUAGCACUUGUUGCAGUAAAUGACAUGCAUCUGGAACAGAUGAAUGUCAAGACUGCAUUCCUUCAUGGUGAAUUAGAAGAAAUAAUUAUAAUGGCACAACCAAGAGGUUAUGAGAAUCAAGAUAAAGCUGAUUAUGUGUGUCUAUUAAAAAAGUCUCUAUAUGGAUUAAAACAAUCCUCGAGACAAUGGUACUUGAGAUUUGAUAAAUUCAUGGCUGAGAACAGCUUUCAAAGGUGCUCUUAUGACUGCUGUGUAUACCACAAAGAUUUGAGAGAUGGAGGUAAGAUUUAUCUGCUGCUAUAUGUUGAUGACAUGCUUAUAGCAUGUAAACAUAUGGAUCAGAUAGAUGAGCUAAAGAAGCAGUUAAAGAAUGCAUUUGAGAUAAAGGAUUUUGGAGCAGCCAAGAAGAUCCUUGGAGUAGAGUUGCUAAGAGAUAGUAAGAAGGGAAUACUAAAGCUGUCACAGCAUUGCUAUAUAAAGAAAGUACUUGAGAGAUUUGAAAUGGUGGACUCAAAACCAGUUCAAACUCCACUGUCAGCUCAUUUCAGGUUGUCUUGUAACCAGUGUCCAAGGACUGAAGAUGAAAAAGCUGAGAUGAGCACAACUCCAUACUCAAGUGCUGUGGGGUGCUUAAUGUAUGCCAUGGUCCUAACAAGGCCUAAUAUCUCUCAUGCAGUAAGUGUAGUUUCCAGGUAUAUGGCUAAUCCUGGAAAGGAGCACUGGAGGGCUGUGAAAUGGAUCUUAAGAUAUUUCAGUGGAACUGCUGAUUAUGGCCUCAUCUAUGGAACCAAAAGAGGUACAGAAGUUAAUGUUGAAGGGUAUGUGGAUGUUGACUAUGCAGGGGAUCUAGAUAAAAGAAGGUCUCUGACAGGCUAUCUGUUCACACUCAGUAGCUGCACCAUAAACUGGAAAGCUUCACUGCAAAGUGUUAUUGCUCUGUCAACAACAGAAACUAAGUACACUGCAGCUGCAGAAGCCUUUAAGGAGGCAAUAUAGCUCAGAGGAAUGGUUACAGAAUUGGGAUAUGAACAAAAACAGGUGGUUGUUCAUUGUGACAGUCAAAGUGCAAUUUGCCUAAGCAAGAACCAGGUGCAUCACGAAAAGACAAAGCACAUUGACAUUAAACUACACUUUGUCAGGCUGGAGGUGUCUAAAGGUGUGGUGCAGCUAUUAAAGAUACACACUGAUGAUAACCUUGCUGAUAUGUUGACAAAGGCUGUACCAGCAGCCAAGCUAGAGUUCUGCAUGAACUCAGCUGGAAUCUGCAGGCUAUAAAAACUGCAGGGAUGAAGUGGAAGGCAUAAGCUUAGGAGUAACUGAUUUGAGUUCAAGGUGGAGAAUGUUGGAGUUGUGAAGCUCAAAUCUGAACUUGGGGAUUUGUAUGACAUGUCAUCUGUUUCUAAUGAAGCAUAACGACUUGUCAAGCAUUAGAGUUCAGAGAAGCUGAAUGGAAUAAACGUUAUGUCAGCUGGAUGCGUUAGUAAUGCACGUGAUGCAACACAUGAUUCACUAAUUCAAACGGCAACCUCAUCUGCGUUUUAGCUAGCAGAUAGCAUGAGCUUUUGACAAGUGUCCCAGAGCAUAUUCAAGAAUUGGUUAUUUCGGUUAGAUCACGCGGGAGGCAGCUGAUCAUCAUCUUGGCUGGAAACCCAGGAGCGUGAGCUGACUUUUGGGGGCUCUUUCAUCGGGUUCUGAUAGGAGUAUAAAAGGUCCUAGGCUCUGUUACUAAAGGCAUUCUAUUAAGUUGUAUUCACUCUUCAUACGUGUAACUUGUUCACUGGAAAUCAGUAAAAGCUUGUUUCUCUUUUCACAGUGGAUGUAGGCAAGAAAUUGGCCGAACCACUAUAACCCUUGGUGCAAGUGUGUGAUAUGAUUUUCUUUGAUUGUGUGGUUGGUUUCAAGUGCUUAUACGUAAUUCUUGUCAAAGCUUAGUUUAGUGUUAAUUCCAUAUCAAGGUCAAGUUUCAUAGAGUGGGUCUUGGGGGUUCUAAGUUGAUCUUGGAGAUUGAUUUGGUUUCAACAAUAUCUUUACUAAUUUUAUCAAAAUUAUUAUUUAAAAAUUAUAUUUACUACAUAAUAUUGACUUUUAUUUCACGGUUACAAUUUUUUUUUUCAGGAUAGCUGUAGCUUUUAAGUUACAACAUUUCAAUUCAAAUAGAACUUAUGUGGUGCUCAAUUCCAAAUAGAGCUUAUGUUGAUGUUUUUACCGUGCAAUGUUCCAUUCUUGUCAUCAGCAUAUUGACAUGUGAUAAUACUGAAUUAUUUUUCAUUAUCUAUAGCUUUGUGUCUGCCACCUGCAACUUCAUAUUCUCACUCAAAAUGUUAAAAGCAGCUGUCCACAAAGUUAGAUAUAAGGGAAAAUCAAGGGUAUAUAUACCUGGGAAAAAUCGAAAAGUGCCGGAAAAUCAAUCCACAUACUCUGUUCUGUUUUCACACUUUGGAGGAUAGAACUAAGAAUAAACCUUCUCUUCAUGUCUUAACACUUAAUCGACGCUGGUUUUAUGCGUUUUACAGUAUAUGGAGCACGUUCAGUACGAAUUAAGAUUAUUUCUUCACAUGAACUCACCUGGUCUUUGAAUGUUACUAUGAUAUACACAGAGGCGGACCUGUGCUUAGGCUAGACUGGGCUGUAGCCCAAAAAAAAAAAUUAAAAAGUUUUCGAAAAUUACAGAAUUUCCAUUAAAUACAUAAAAUAAUAUUUACUUUUACUUUUUCCUCUUUACCUUUCCUUGUUUCUCCCUUUUGCAUCCAUCCAGAACGAUAAAAUUCCUCACUCCUGCGUCUGUGGUGGUCCCUUGCUUCACUUCUUUUCGACUCAAGCACUUCCCAUUCAAUUUUUAAUAGGUAAAAAUCACUCAUAUUUUAAUUUAUGACAGUUCCCUCUCUCGUUUACAUGUAUGGCUUAAUUUAUUACAACUAUCUCUCUCUAUCUCUCUCUCUUUCCCUCUCUCUUUCAUUUACAAGCAUGAGUGAAAUCAAAACAUCUUUUCUAUGAUUCUCUUUCUUGCAAUAAUUAGGUAUAAAGUAUAAACAAUUACACAAAUAUCAACAAUUGAGAUUUGGGUAAUAAUGUUUUGGUGAUUGUUGAUUUGUUAGUUAUCAUAUAAUUCUAAUUGAUGGUUGGCAUCUCUAUAUUAGAAUGAGUAAAUAAUAAAUUGUCUAAUAAAUAAAUAAAUUUGUUUAUUGAACUUACUCAUUUGAUUAAAUUAACUCAAAUCUCACUGUUUAUCUAUUAAUUUUUUUUCUUAUUAUUCUAAUAUUUUACAAUUCUUUUUUAAAGUGCCGGAAAAUCAAUCCACAUACUCUGUUCUGUUUUCACACUUUGGAGGAUAGAACUAAGAAUAAACCUUCUCUUCAUGUCUUAACACUUAAUCGACGCUGGUUUUAUGCGUUUUACAGUAUAUGGAGCACGUUCAGUACGAAUUAAGAUUAUUUCUUCACAUGAACUCACCUGGUCUUUGAAUGUUACUAUGAUAUACACAGAGGCGGACCUGUGCUUAGGCUAGACUGGGCUGUAGCCCAAAAAAAAAAAUUAAAAAGUUUUCGAAAAUUACAGAAUUUCCAUUAAAUACAUAAAAUAAUAUUUACUUUUACUUUUUCCUCUUUACCUUUCCUUGUUUCUCCCUUUUGCAUCCAUCCAGAACGAUAAAAUUCCUCACUCCUGCGUCUGUGGUGGUCCCUUGCUUCACUUCUUUUCGACUCAAGCACUUCCCAUUCAAUUUUUAAUAGGUAAAAAUCACUCAUAUUUUAAUUUAUGACAGUUCCCUCUCUCGUUUACAUGUAUGGCUUAAUUUAUUACAACUAUCUCUCUCUAUCUCUCUCUCUUUCCCUCUCUCUUUCAUUUACAAGCAUGAGUGAAAUCAAAACAUCUUUUCUAUGAUUCUCUUUCUUGCAAUAAUUAGGUAUAAAGUAUAAACAAUUACACAAAUAUCAACAAUUGAGAUUUGGGUAAUAAUGUUUUGGUGAUUGUUGAUUUGUUAGUUAUCAUAUAAUUCUAAUUGAUGGUUGGCAUCUCUAUAUUAGAAUGAGUAAAUAAUAAAUUGUCUAAUAAAUAAAUAAAUUUGUUUAUUGAACUUACUCAUUUGAUUAAAUUAACUCAAAUCUCACUGUUUAUCUAUUAAUUUUUUUUCUUAUUAUUCUAAUAUUUUACAAUUCUUUUUUCUCAAAAAUUUGAUAGCCAUGGGUAUUUGUAUUAACCAUAUAUUGACUUGUAUGAGCCUUUAAUGUUGAUUUUUUUUUAUUUUGCGACUUUAAAUAUAUUUAAAAUUAGUAGAAUGUAUAGCUUAUAACACUUUUAAUGAUUUCUUGAUUCUUACACAAUUACAUGCUGUUAUAGGUUAUAAUGUCAAACAACAAAUCCAAACCGAGGAAAACUCUACUUUCAUUCUUUACUAAAGUAAAUGAUGGUCAAUCAUCAAAUGGGACAAGUUCUAUGUGCAACAUUGAUGCCUCAAGUUCUCCACCUAAGUCUCAAAGAGUUGAAUUUGAGAAAGUUGAUACUCUAUCUACUAUUGACACGCCUUAUUUAGAACGUGAUCCCGGAUUGCGUUUUUCAAUAAGUACUUUUCCCAUUGACAAGCGUGAAGAUGUGCGGAUGGCAUAUAUAAAUAUGGGACCAUUUCAACAUAAGUACUUUUCUCAUUGACAAGCGUGAAGAUGUGCAGAUGGCAUAUAUAAAUAUGGGACCAUUUCAACCUAAACUAUAAAAGUAUCUAUCGACUAAAUAUGGUACGCAAAACCGUCGAUUUCAAUUUUCUUGGUUCUCGAAAUUUCCUUGGCUUGAAUAUUCUAUAUCAAAAGACAAAGCAUUUUGUUUUCCAUGCUAUAUUUUUCAUGAUAAGCCAUCUAAGAAUGAAGCAUUUGUUGUUGAUAGGGUUCAAAAUUGGAAGUAUGUUGGUUGUGAAAAAACAUGUCCUUUUGAUCAACAUGAAAGAGGUCGUGGUUCUUCUCACAAUGAUGCCAUGUUAAAAUGGAGCAAUUUAAAGGAUCCAUCCAAACAUAUUGAUAAGAGAUUGAAUGCACAAUCUUCGCAACAAAUUUUGGAGAAUAGAUUGCGAUUUAAAACCUCAAUAGUAGCUAUUAAGUGGUUAGCAAAACAAGCAUGUGCUUUUAGAGGUCAUGAUGAGUCCGUUAAUUCUCUUAAUCGUGGAAAUUUUAUUGAAUUAAUUAAGUUGUUAGCAAUAAUGAAUGAGGAGAUUAAUAAAGUUGUGUUAGAAAAUGCUCCUAAAAAUGCCUAAUACAUAACACCUAAGAUUCAAAAGGAGUUAUUGAAUAUUAUUGCUAAUAAAGUAUGACACAAGAUUCGAGAGGAAGUGGGUGAUGCUAAAUUUUGUAUCAUAGUUGAUGAGGCACUAGAUGAAUCUCACAAAGAACAAAUGGCUAUUAUUUUGAGAUAUGUUGAUUGUGAUGGUUUUAUUCGAGAACAUUUCUUUGAAAUUGUGAAUGUCGAUGAAACAUAGGCAUUGACUUUAAAGAAUGAGAUAUGCAAUGUGCUUUCUCAGUACAAUCUUUUAGUUGAAAAUUUAAGAGGUCAAGGGUAUGAUGGUGCUAGUAAUAUGGCGGGUGAAUGGAAUGGAUUACAAUCUUUAUUUCUCAAUGAUUGUCCGUAUGCUUAUUAUGUACAUUGUUUUGCUCAUCGAAUACAACUCAUAUUAGUUGCGGUAUCUAAAGAAGUGCAUGAGGUAUGGCUAUUUUUUUUGAAGUUGAGUUCUAUUAUUAACUUUGCUAGUGCUUCUUUCAAGUGUUAUUCUGAGUUAAAAUCUGCUAGAGAAAAAGAAAUUAUAGAUUUGAUAGCUUUAUAAGAGCUUGAGACUAGUACAGGGGCUAAUCAAGUUAGAACUUUACAAAGGGCUGGAGAUACACGUUUGAGCUCACAUUUUACUUCAGUUAGUAGGUUUAUUGAGAUGUUUGGUGCAACUCUUGAAGUUUUAGGAAAAAUUAUUAAUGAUGGAUCUAGUCGAGAUAUGCGUGGGGAAGCUAAAGGUGCAUAUAGGGAGAUGAAAUCCUUUGAGUUUGUGCUUAUUUUGUUUUUAUUGAAUAAAGUUCUCGGAAUUUCUAAUAUUCUUUGUCAAGCAUUACAGACAAAAUCAUUGGACAUCUUGAAUGCUUUGAACUAUGUCUCAAGUACAAAAAGACUUUUGCAAGAGUUUCGAGAUAGUGGAUGGGAUGAUUUUAUUAGAAGUGUAGUAUCUUUCUGUAAAAAAUAUGAUAUUACUAUGCUUGAUAUGAGUGAUUGUUAUAUGGAAGGUACAAGGCGUUCUUGUCAGCAAAAAGAUUAUGUUACAGUUGAACAUCAUUAUCACUUUGAUGUAUUUAAUGCUAUAAUAGAUUUUCAAUUGAUGGAGUUAAAUAGUAGAUUCUCUGAGCAAACUGUGGAACUCCUCACUUUGAGCUCGGCAUUGGAUCCAGUUGAUGGGUUCAAAUCAUUUGAUAUAGACAAUAUUUGUUCUCUUGCUGAGCAAUUUUAUCCUCAUGAUUUCACUCCAAAUGAGGUGCUUGCUUUGAGAAGAGAAUUAGAACAUUAUCAAAUUGAUGUGCUUUCUCAUCCACGGUUUCAAAAUAUGGCUUCCCUUUCUGAGCUAUGUCGACGAUUUGUUGAAACAAUGAAGUCACAGCACUAUUUGUUGAUUGAUAGAUUAAUUCAUCGAGUCUUAACUCUUCCUGUUUCCACGGCCACAACAGAGCGUGCAUUUUCAGCCAUGAAACUUAUCAAGACAUCACUUCGUAGUAAGAUGGAAAAUGAGUUAUUUUUCAGAUUGUAUGGUUAUCUAUAUUGAAAGAGAAAUUACUGAUACUGUUGAUUUAGAUUCUGUAAUUGAUGAUUUUUAUAAUUUGAAACCCCGAAAAGUACAACUUCGGUAGAAAAUUUGUAUUGGGAUUGUAUUUUUUUAUACUACUUUUUUAAACUUAUUUUUAUUUACAAUAUGGAUUUUACGCGUAAGGCUCUUAAUGUCUCUUGUUAUUAGGUGUAUUUUGUCAUAUGUAUAUAUAAAAUUUCAUGUUCACUUGGUACAAAUUUUUUAUUUUUUUAAUUUAGCCCAGGGUACUGCAGAGUUCUAGGUCCGCCCCUGGAUAUACAUGCAUAUUUUAGUAUGUUUUAAAGAUUUACUGCGUUGAAAUACUUUCAUUCAUUGACAUCCGAUUACAGUCCUGUACGUGGUAAGAUAAAAGCUCAGAUCAGAAAAGAAUCCAGGCUGUUCAGUACACAAUUUUCUUGGAGUUAAGAGGUGGAACUAGCAAGUCACUUAGUCAGCUGGUGCAUAUGAGCAGGCGCCUCUAGCUUACAUCGUAGCCAUUAUUUUUGCUGGCAAUAAAAAUCUAACCUUAUGCUGUGGAAUAAUUUGAUUGAUCUGAAUUUUGCAUAAUCGUAGUGAAAUGAAGAAUAAGCCUUCCUCAACUAAACAAAAGAUUACAACCCUUCACUUCUCUUUCACAUUGUCAUGUACCUAAUAUGCUCUUAAUAAUUACUUGUCUCAAGAAAAGUAAAUGCUUUUAGAAUCGUAGCCAAAGCAUAAUCACCACUGAUGACUGACCAAGAUGAAUGAUCUAUCUUAUUUCCGGCAGAUUGAAAUGAUAUGUAGAAUAUAAGAAGAAUAAUUUAUCCUUCGGUUUCUAAUGUCCCAUAUUGGUAAAUUCUCUCGUCCCAAGAAAAGUGAUGCCUUUACACUUUUGCUUUGCUUUCUAGUUGAUUAUCAGUUGUAUUUGACAGCUGUGGCAUAUCCCUUGACCUGCUCAAAGGCCAAACUCGCAGCGAAACCUGGAAAUUCAAUCCGAGGAAUCUAUUAAGCAGAUAUUUAUUGCGACAUGAUAGCUAUGAAAUAGUUGUCAACAAAUUGGAAAUUCUAGUACUAAAUGAUAACACCAGAUUGCAAAUUGGCCCAACUCUUGUGAAACAAGUCAAAAAAAGAAGAAAAAAAUGAUUCAGGAGCAAGUUAUGAUCAAGUGUAGGAGCUCAGUCAAAAAGCACAAAAGUCAUCCAAUAACUGAUUUAUUUCAAGCAUAUGUACACAAAAGUUAUAUAUAGAGAAGUGCAUAUAUACCUACUCUUCAAUCUUCAAGAUGUUUUAACACUCUGUUCUAGGAAUCAUAAUAAUUGGCAGCAUAUGAUUUGCUUGAAAGUUGGCAGCAAUAAUAAUGGUAAUGAAAUGCAGAUUUUAUAAGCCUAAUUCCUCGCUUGACCACAAUAUGGAACUAUGCGUGUUUUGGUUAAUUUUUAUGUCCCCAUAUGAUCGCAUGACUUUUGGUUCAAGAGAAGUUAGACCUUUAUAAUCAUAGAAUAUAAAACAGCAUAUCUACACGCGAUGUACUAAGCUGGACUGUUCGCUAGUCAUAAUAUCCUAAGAAAAUCAAUUAGGAAUGAAGCACUUAUUGCUUGAUCUCUGCUUCUAAAAUUAUGCAUUAAUAUGCUCUAUUGUGCUGCAUUGUUUUGCUUACUGAUUGAAAAAAUCCAUUACACUUUUGUUGGACUUUUGUGACUUGUAAUCUCCUUGAAGGCUUAUUUCUCAGCAUAUUAUCAUUAGAAAUGAUGGAUGCAUUCUUCUCUUUUGUUGCCCAUUCCAUCUACUAUUUUGCUGUCUCAGCAGUGGACUUCACUAAUUUGAUGCAAUGAAUGUUUUAUUUAAGUAAGGAAGAUCAUAUAAUUAUAAAAUUAUUAAAAUAAUUUUAGUAGAAAAUUAAAUUCUCAAGGAGCAACAAAGAGCUUAUAGAAAAACCAUAUAUUCUAAAUUAUAGCAAAACAUCUCUAUAGUGAUGUUGAAUAUAGAAAUAAUCUAUGUAUAGUUGUAAAAAAAUCAUCACCAUCUUCAACUAAAUUUUUUUCUACAAUAGCACCAUGAAUAGCACAUAGCAAAACAACAUGAAAUACACCGAAAACUCUAUCAUAUGAAAGGGAUUUAAUGUCCAAUUACAAAACCCUUGGAACAAAAAAGGAUGAAUCGAAAUAUCGCCACUACACCAAAACUACGCACGAAGAACCAACCAGACUUCCAAAGCCUUGUUGUUUUUAGGAUCCGGAUCAAUUAUUCAGUCAAUAGAAGCUAUUGUUAGAUAUUUUCCAAAUAAAAGCUAGAAUAUGGUUUUUAUGGGUGGAUUAAGAAAACAUGUGCGGAUUACAAAAAUCACUUUUUUAUUAGGUACUCUUCCACUUUUUUAGUAGGUACUCUUUCUCUUUGUGGUAUUUCACCUCUCGCUUGUUUUUUGUCCAAGGAUGAAAGAUAUGUAAACUAAGAAAACUCCCCUUUGAGAACCAUAUAGGAGAAUUUCACCUCAUACGGUUCAAACGAAACCACCCAAAUAUUGGUAUAGAAUAGAAAAUUGGAAACUUAUUAAUUUUUUUAUUCAAUCUUAUCUAAAAGUAUGAAAGAAUAAACAUCUGAAAGCUAUUCUUUGUGGUUAUAAUAAGAAUAUAUAAUUUGAGUUAGUUAUAAAUAAUAAUUAUUAUUACUAAGUAGAGGUAAGAUAUUCCUUAAAAUGAGAUUUAGAAAAAUUACAAUUUAUCAUGUGGAGUUUAUUCUUAAAUAAACUAAUUUUGAGAAGGUAGUACAAAAACAGUUUAAGAAACUAAUUCCAAAAUAAUCUAUUAUGAAAAGCUUUGCCAAACUUGUUUUAAAUGUGUCCGUAAUCUACUAGUUAGGACACAAUGACACUCAUUUGUGAUGUUACAAAUAUGAUGUUAGUGAUUACUAUUACUACAAUAUUACAACUUUUAUGGCACUAUAGUAGUUACCUAUAAUUAUUAUGUGUCAAUGGUUCGUUUCACUAUAGUAUCACAAAUAAUAUGACACUAUGGUGUUAACAAUUAAAUAAUUAUUAAAAGUCAAUGGUUCAUUUCACUAUAGUAUGACGAAUAUUAUAAUUCUAGUGAUAUUAUUUUCAAACACUUUUACGUGUUAAUUGUUUGUUAUAUACACAACGAAUAUGAUAUGACAAAAUCGAUAGCUACUUAUCCUUUAGUGUCAAUAAUUAGUAUUAUAUCUUAUCAAUAAUAUUAUGAUACAAUGGAGUUAGUGCCUGCUGAUGUAUUUGUUAGUGUGCAUGACUAUUUUGGUUAAAUUUGGGUUUUGGCAUUUCUAUUGUUGGCCUAUUGUUUUCAUUGCUUUUUUACUUUUGCCAUCAAAUGAUGUUAUUCAAAGAAAAUAUUAAAAUUAAUAUAAAUAAUAAAAUUUAAAUAAUUAUCAAAUAAAACAUACAUCUCAAAUAUAGUUUGAAAGAAACUUAAUUACAUAUUUAUUUUGACAGUUUGCACAAAUUAAUUAAAUCUCUUCAAUACAUCUACUCCUUGAUAAUUCCCACCUACAAGUGUGGUACAUAGAAACAUUAGCUAGUAUGCUACACAAACAUGUCUUGGAUAUUUGCAAGCAAAAAUAUACUUAUAAUUUACCUGAUUAUUUUAAGUUAUAGUUAACUUUACAAUAUAUGUGGCCCUCUUAUUGCGAAGUUGCGAAAAAUCGUCCAUAGUAUACUUAUCACAACCAUUGAACUUCAAUAAUAAAACAAUGAAGAAAAAUACAUAUAUUUUAAAUCUGUUCUAAAAUAAAACAACAAAAUAUGUACAUAUAUUUUAAAUUUGUUCCAAUUAAAAUAAAAAAACAAAAAACUUGCAAAUAAAUUGUAUCACCAUAGUAAACAAUAGUUACCAAAGCUGCUCAACAAGUUGAUAAUUUGUAAUAAUCAUUUUGAUUCACUUAAUAUUACUUUAGAAGGAUAGCAGGACACACUAAAAAUUAGCAUCAGUUUUGCCAAACAACAUCUUAAACACAUUCAACAAAAUAUUGAUCGAUUAAACAUAGUUCUUAAGAAAAUUCAUCCUAGACAAAAUCAAUAAAAAAAAAAAAGAUAUCUCUAUGAUAAUAAUAUAUGUUCAACUAAUGGAUAUGUCCACUACAUUUAAAACUGCAGUAGGAUAAAAUUUGGAUAUGUGUUGUAGCUUUUACCUAAUAAAUAUGCCAAAUGAAGUGCAUGUCGUUAUUAUAAACAUGCGAAGUACUUCCUCUCAUCCCUAGCAAUUGUGUAUACAGAUAUUGCAAAUUUCAAGCAUUAAUCAACAAACAAUUCAUCAAUCAAUCACAUAAUUGACAGGUAGUUUUUCAUAAACAGUGGCAUAAGAUCAAUUAAACACCAUUGUUAAGAAAAUUCAUCCCCCAACGCAAAUAUAUCUAUCUAUAACAAUGGGUACCUUUGUUGUUUCUUUCUCUUACAUUGUUUUCAAGAAUGUACAAAACUUGAACAACAUCUUGAAUAUACUUCAUCACAUAACAACCACAUUCGAUGGUGUUAGGUUGCUUCGAUCACUACAAAAAUAAAAAUUAGUUCCAAAUAAAUUGAUGAAAGAAACAAUGAAUGUUAUAAAUUUGUUUCAUUAAUACCUUCACAUAAAACAUUGCAUAGUCUUCCUUCGAUUAGACUUUACUUGAUGCAUUGUUAUCCCACUAUAAGAAAUAAAUAAUGAAUGUCAACAAAUUAAUCCAUUGCGUAAAAAAAUAAGAAAAAUAAGUAAGCUAAUCAAACUUACUCAUUCAUCAUCUGCCUCAACUCAUCAUAAGGAUUAUCACCAAAUGGAUCAAGAUAAUAUAUUUUGCGCCUCACCAUAUCAAUUGCUACAAGAUAAAUUAGAAAAAUAACAAAUAGAUUACAAGAUAAAUUUAAAUCAUUCAUGUAAAUAAAGAAUAUGGAUAGAAAAUAAAUAAAUUAUCCCCUAGUUAUAAGGGAAUACAAUGAUUUGGGCUUUUUGUAUCUUGUCCAAAAGAUCUUAAAUAUAUGAACAUCUACUUGGAUAGCUUGCUUGAUCUAAAUGUAACUUAGCUAUAAAUCCAAAUUGAAUUGGAAGGACAUCAUCACCAUUAUCCAUCUCUUCAUACAAGUGUCUAUGAGGAAGAAAAUAAAAAAGAAACUUGUAUCACAUAUAUUUGGAUAACAGAUAAAUUAACACAACUUUAAAAUCAGAAAACAUAAUAAAAACAUAAAUCAAGUUUUUUUCUUCCUUGAUCUGUAUAUCAAUAAUAGAGUUUGAGACCUUUGUAAACUUUAUAACUUCAUUGCAAAUAAUCUAUUCUCCUAAUAGACACCAAAAGUUUGCAAAUCAUGUGCAAUACUAAUUGACUAUGCCAGGGAGCUCUCAAUCAUCAAAGAAAAUAUGCUCAUCUAUGCACUCUUUGUUUUCUUUCUAGUUUUCAUAGCUCUAAGAGUAUGUUUUGCACGUGGUAUUGCAUUGUAUUAUCUUGUGGGCCCAGCAUUAGUUAAAAUAUACUUGUGUUUGGUGAUCAAAUGGAUUGCAUUCAGCAGCAUUAAAAUGCAGCUUUUGCCGCAUUAUCAAAACCCGUGCCCCCCCUCGUGAUUAGGUUGUAUUACUUACUCUUGUGUUUUAAAAGUCAGUAGCUUCCCCUUUUUUAACUUUAUAAUAAUAGUAAUAAAUAAAUAAAACUUUAAUUUAAUAUAAUAUUAUACAAUAUUUAUUUUUUUUUUAAUUUCUGCUGUACCGUACAUCCGCCUUGGCCGUACAGCAGUAAAUAAAUAAAUAAAAAUUAAUUCCAACAAUAUGAAAGGAAAAUGUACAUACCAGGUGCAAUGUAGCCAUAUGACCCUGCAAUUGCUGACAUACAUUCCGAUGCACCGCCGUCGAUCAAGAAUUUGGCGAGGCCGAAGUCAGCAACGUGAGCUUCAAAGGCUGAAUUUAGCAGAAUGUUGUUUGAUUUCACAUCUCUAUGAACAAUCAAAGGUGAGCAAUCAUGGUGAAGGUAGCAUAGGCCUUUAGCUGCUUCAAUGGCGAUUUUGUACCUCAAAUUCCACCCAAGAAACGCUCCCUUUUUGCCAUGCAAUGCUUCCCCCAAGCUCCCAUUUCUCAUGUACUCAUAAACAAGUAGAUUGGUUUCUUUGUUUGAGCAAAAUGCUAGUAACCUGACAAUGUUCCUGUGCCUGAUGUUGCCUAGUGUUUGAAUCUCAGCUCUGAAGCCAUGAUCAUGAUUAGUAUUUUACAGCGCAACACUAAAUAUAAUAUAAUUAAAAUCUAAUACAGUACAAUGUAACACCAAAUAUUGUAUAGCAUUGUUAUAAUACAGUGCUAAUGCAAUACAGCAUAAUACAAUACACCAGUAUUAAAAUAAUGCAAUACAGCAUAAUACAAUACAGUGUGCCAAACGUACCCUGAGGGUAUUCCUCCUCAAAACAAAUUUUCUUGCUAUUGUUGGUUUUAUAACAAUAGGUACCUUUGUUGUUUCUUUCUCUUCAUACAGAUAUACCAUACCAUUUGCAGGAGACUUUGGCCCAUCAUUUUUUUUUUUAAUGGUUGAGAUACUACCCUUUCUAAUUUUAAAGGGGCAAUCUUGAAGAUCUUCUUAUGGUGAGUUUUAAAGUGGCUUCAUAAUCUACUUGGGAUGGAUUCUAUGCAGAAGCUAGCAAAGGAAGUGUGUUGAUCUUUUUGUCAGAUUUACAACUAGCUUUAAGGUUUUUGUCACUAAUUCUUGAGUAACUCUGGUAAGGAUCGACGAUCCAUCUCUAUCUCCAUCUUAACACUGCAACCACAUCAAGAAUUAGGAAAAUUGGAACUGCCAACUCUAGUGUUACUACAACCAUUUAUCUUUGCAUUCAUUUGAUCUAUAUGAGCUUGAAUAAAUUGAAAACUAUCCUGGUAUAUUUUGAGUGUCAACUACUUCAAAACCGCCUACCGCAAUGGCUUAGGUAAAAAGCAAAGGCUAAUUUUUGCAAAACUAAGUAUAAUUAGGGCUGAAUACUUUUAGUAGGUUGAUAUAAUUUUGAUUGCUUGAUUUUGAGGCCACAUGUUUUGAUUUUGAUGGGAUGUAACAUAUUUGGCAAUUAGACAUGUUGUUUAUUUGAAUUGUUGAAUAAUAAAUUUAUUUCUUUCAUUGGAUAAUAUUGUGGUUGCUUUUACAAAAAAAAAAAAAAAAAAAAGAUUCAUGUGUUGUAGUUAGUCUUUGAUUAAUGCCGAUCAAGAUGUGUUGUGAUAGUAGUGAUGAUGGUGAUGGAUAUAGUAGUGAUGAACAUAGAUGUUGAGUGAAGAUGAUGCUAGAGAACAACAGAGAAAGCAUGUGAGANNNNNNNNNNNNNNNNNNNNNNNNNNNNNNNNNNNNNNNNNNNNNNNNNNNNNNNNNNNNNNNNNNNNNNNNNNNNNNNNNNNNNNNNNNNNNNNNNNNNNNNNNNNNNNNNNNNNNNNNNNNNNNNNNNNNNNNNNNNNNNNNNNNNNNNNNNNNNNNNNNNNNNNNNNNNNNNNNNNNNNNNNNNNNNNNNNNNNNNNNNNNNNNNNNNNNNNNNNNNNNNNNNNNNNNNNNNNNNNNNNNNNNNNNNNNNNNNNNNNNNNNNNNNNNNNNNNNNNNNNNNNNNNNNNNNNNNNNNNNNNNNNNNNNNNNNNNNNNNNNNNNNNNNNNNNNNNNNNNNNNNNNNNNNNNNNNNNNNNNNNNNNNNNNNNNNNNNNNNNNNNNNNNNNNNNNNNNNNNNNNNNNNNNNNNNNNNNNNNNNNNNNNNNNNNNNNNNNNNNNNNNNNNNNNNNNNNNNNNNNNNNNNNNNNNNNNNNNNNNNNNNNNNNNNNNNNNNNNNNNNNNNNNNNNNNNNNNNNNNNNNNNNNNNNNNNNNNNNNNNNNNNNNNNNNNNNNNNNNNNNNNNNNNNNNNNNNNNNNNNNNNNNNNNNNNNNNNNNNNNNNNNNNNNNNNNNNNNNNNNNNNNNNNNNNNNNNNNNNNNNNNNNNNNNNNNNNNNNNNNNNNNNNNNNNNNNNNNNNNNNNNNNNNNNNNNNNNNNNNNNNNNNNNNNNNNNNNNNNNNNNNNNNNNNNNNNNNNNNNNNNNNNNNNNNNNNNNNNNNNNNNNNNNNNNNNNNNNNNNNNNNNNNNNNNNNNNNNNNNNNNNNNNNNNNNNNNNNNNNNNNNNNNNNNNNNNNNNNNNNNNNNNNNNNNNNNNNNNNNNNNNNNNNNNNNNNNNNNNNNNNNNNNNNNNNNNNNNNNNNNNNNNNNNNNNNNNNNNNNNNNNNNNNNNNNNNNNNNNNNNNNNNNNNNNNNNNNNNNNNNNNNNNNNNNNNNNNNNNNNNNNNNNNNNNNNNNNNNNNNNNNNNNNNNNNNNNNNNNNNNNNNNNNNNNNNNNNNNNNNNNNNNNNNNNNNNNNNNNNNNNNNNNNNNNNNNNNNNNNNNNNNNNNNNNNNNNNNNNNNNNNNNNNNNNNNNNNNNNNNNNNNNNNNNNNNNNNNNNNNNNNNNNNNNNNNNNNNNNNNNNNNNNNNNNNNNNNNNNNNNNNNNNNNNNNNNNNNNNNNNNNNNNNNNNNNNNNNNNNNNNNNNNNNNNNNNNNNNNNNNNNNNNNNNNNNNNNNNNNNNNNNNNNNNNNNNNNNNNNNNNNNNNNNNNNNNNNNNNNNNNNNNNNNNNNNNNNNNNNNNNNNNNNNNNNNNNNNNNNNNNNNNNNNNNNNNNNNNNNNNNNNNNNNNNNNNNNNNNNNNNNNNNNNNNNNNNNNNNNNNNNNNNNNNNNNNNNNNNNNNNNNNNNNNNNNNNNNNNNNNNNNNNNNNNNNNNNNNNNNNNNNNNNNNNNNNNNNNNNNNNNNNNNNNNNNNNNNNNNNNNNNNNNNNNNNNNNNNNNNNNNNNNNNNNNNNNNNNNNNNNNNNNNNNNNNNNNNNNNNNNNNNNNNNNNNNNNNNNGCAGUAUAAAAAUAUAAGAAAAUAAUUUAAUAUUGUAGUAUUUAUAUAUAUUUUAUAAAAAAACUUUAAAAAUAUACAUUUUUUUAGGGCAAAAGAUUUUAUGGAGUCCUCUCAUGUGGGAGCCCUCAUUUUGUUUAUAAAGAUUCGUUAUUAAACCAUGUGGUUUAAUAAAGUCAGUGCAGACACACUAUAUAGACCACAUUGUUUUAUAGUGAAUUGAACACUAACUCUGUUAAACCACGUGGUUUAAUAGCAUGUCCACAUAUAUAUUGAGAUAAACUGUGAGAAUUUUGAGAAAAAAAUUCAAAAUAGGUGUUAUAAGGAUUUUAGAGGGGUGUUAAAUUAUAAGGAUUUUAGAGGUGUGUUAAAUUACUUACAUCUUAUCAAAUUAUUCACAAAUUCUAGAUUUACCAAGUAUCUUAUUAAAUUACUUACAAAGUUGCCUCUAGAGGUAUGAUCGAGUGGUUUUAAAAUAGGCAAAACACUAUUUUCAUUCUCAUUUUUAUUUUCAGAAAAUACUAAUUCAGAAACAAUACCAAAUAGAAACUUAGUUUUAGUAUGAAUAAUGUUGUGUUAGUUUUGCAGGCUUACAUGCACCCUCAGAUUUAUUAGAAGUAUCAACCCAACCCCCCAGUUACCCGUUGACUGAUAUCUAACUCGUUGAAUGAUGUUGACUCUUGAAAGAAACUAUAAUAUUUAUAUUCUAAUCUCACUUUAUUAACUAAUAAAUUUUAAAAAUAUAAGCAGAUCAAUAAUAACAAAAUAAUUAAAGUUGAAAUCCAAGAAAUUACCCAAAGCAAACCAUACCUAAACCAAACCUGAAAACCAAAAUGCAUAAAAUUUCAUUAAUUUAGGUUGUGACAAUGAGUAGUCCAUAUAAUAUGAUGAAGGAACAACUUUCAUCAUUUUACCAAGUUAUUAAUGCUAUGUUUACUUACUGGAGUGGGAGUGAGAAGUGUAGAUUCCUCUCACUCUAGUGUUUACUUGUAUAUUCUAAGAGGUGUGGAAAUCUCACUCUGUUGAUCCCACCCAAUUUUGAAGUAGAGAGUGUGAUUCCCACUCCGAUGAGGGAAUGUCCACUACCACAUCUUACUUUUUUACCUUUCUUUUAUUAAAUUUAAUACAAUUAUAUUUAGUAAAAUAAAAUAAAUAAUAUCAUAUUUAUUAAUUGUUAUUAUAUUUAUUUAAAAAUAAUAGUAUUAUAUUUAUUUAAUAUUAAUAAUUAAUAAUAAUAAAUAGUUUAUUUAAGAAAAUAUUAAUUUUGUACUAUAUUAUUAAUAAUAAUGUUUCAUUUGUGUUGCUUUUAUCAAUAGAUUUUAAUUUACAUAAUUAAAAUUAAAACUAAUAAAAAAUUGUGAUUUACAUAAUUAAUAAUAUUAAUAAUUAUUGUUAAUUUACAAAUAUAAUGAAAUAAAUAUUUUAUUUCAAAUAUAUUUUUUAUUAAUUUUGUAAUUAAAAGCUACAAUUCUUUAAAUAAUGGUAAAAUCAUAAUUUGAAAUCAUUUACUCCCAAUCCAAGAAAAAAUAAACAGGUAAAUUGGAUUUGAUUAUGAUUCCAUAUUCUGAUUCCAGUGAGAGGAAACAACUUGCUCCCACUCCACACUCUCAAUCCCAGGAUUUCCACUUCUCAGGAUUUCCACUUCAAUUUAAAAUAUAAACACUAUCUAAAACGUCAAAUAAAAUUCUCAAUUAAGUAAACCAUAAGGUGAUUGCGUAUAAAAAAAUUAAUAAUAUUAAUUUUCAUAAGAAUUUAUGCUCGUAGUAUUCUUUACUUUUUAUUAACCGUUGCUUCAACUUAUGGUAGAUAUUAAGAGAACAAUAAUAAUAGAGCUAUAAAUGUUUGCAUACUAUCAAUUAACUUAACACUAUAAUUUGGUUUACCAAACAAAUCCUUAAUACCAUAAAUAAUUAAAUUUUUGGGGUUUUAAAAUAACUCUCCAGACUUUGCAUGAUUUCUUUAUAUGUAGGGGCCAUGGUUCAUGUAAGUAAUAUCAGCCACACUUUUUGUUAUUGGUAAAAAAAAAAUUUUAGGUACAAUUUGUGAAUUUGUACAAAAUGUGGUAUUAUACAUUUGAAGCAUGAACCAACAAGACAAUGUCGCGUCAAUAAUAAAGAAAUGAAAAAAAAUUGUAUAAAAUACAGAUGUUGUAGUGUAACUUGGAUUCUUUUUCUUUAUAAUUGCACCUAUCAUGUGAUUAUAAAAAAUAAAAAUAAAAAAACUCUUGAGAUUUUAAAAUUUUGUAAUUGCACUAUCUUUGGAUUAUCAGAAGACUUCCUCUCCUUAAAGAUGCCCUUAAUCCAUAAAAAAAAAAAAAUCAUGUACGCAUACCUUUUAUAGCUUCAUAUUGCAUAACUCCUCAUUUCAAUCAAUGGAUGCAUUUGUUUACUUUUUCUUUCUUGUAAAUUUUUGAAUGGUCGUAAUUAAUUAAGUGCUAUUAUUAUCAUCAUUUUGUAGAUGCAUAUGCGGGGUGGGUCCAUUGGGGCCUGGGGGGCAUGGAUCUCAAUAUAGCAGAGGGCCGGCUAGAAUAUUUAUUCUUUAAGAGGAACCACAACCAACAGAAUGCUUUAAGCUUCUAUUCCAUGUUAUUUAUGUACACCAAAUUGUAGAAACAACAUUGAUCAUCCAAGGUCAAAGCCUUUCAAAGACUCUAGUUGCAAGAAAAAGCAUGGGAUUGCGGUCAAAAUUUUCUUGCUGUGAAAGGUUCAUAAACUGAUGACAGCUGCUGGAUUGUUUUGAGCCUCAAUGGUUUUAAUAUUAUUCUCUUAAAAACAUAUAUGUUGAUUAGAGACGAGAGGAAGAAGAUGAUCUGAUUUAGCCAAUUGCAGAAGAAAGAGCACGCAAUGGAGUUCAGAUUUUGAAUUCUCUUGUUAAAUUAUUUUUAAUUUAUUAUAAGGCCGAAUACGUUGCAUUCUUAAAAAAUACUUUGAACAUCAUAUUUUUGUAUUACAAAUAUACCAAAAAUUAAUAUAUUUUUUUCUUUAUUAGAAUAAACUAAAUUUUGCAUGAAUCCUCAUCCUUGUAAGUUGAAUUCUAUUGUGAAACUAAUAGUCCUUCCUAGUAGAACUAACUAUCACUUUGAACAUAUGUGUCAUCUCUAACAAUAGCUUCCAAACCUGCAACUGGCUGCUUCUCAGCAUUAGAAGCAGCAUCCGCAUUGGCUUUCAACCAGCCAUAAUUAAGAGGAGGGCACCAUUGUUUCCGUUUGACAGUUUUCUUCCUUGAAGCAUAAGCCAUAAUUAGGAGGAGGGCAAGCUUCCAAAUAACAUUCCGAAUGGUAUUGUGAAAAUCUUUCACCCUUUUGGCGAUAAAAAAAAAAAAAAACCUUGUUUCUAGUUCUCUCUUAACAAUUUUAUGACUUUAAGUUCUCUCUUAAGUAGAAACAUCAUAUAUAUUAAUUUGUUGUUAAUAUAAAUAAAACUAAAUAUUUAUGACUUAAAGAUAGGUGUUGAAUGGCGGUCGUCUCACAAAAAAAAAGUACUUAAAAGCAAUGGUGAUAUCGUAAUUUUUUUGUACUAAUAUGAGAAUAUCACACUAGAUUUUUUUCCAAAUUACAAAAAGUUUGAAUUCAAGAAUAAAUAAGCAAUAUCAGGAACAAAUUUUACAAAAAGCCUCCAGAACAUGUCAUAUGAAUUUGUGAUACGAAAAAUAGUAUACUAGUCACUAGAUCUUUUCACAUUAUGAAAAAUUAGAAAUGCAAUCUAAAAUUAUAUCAAUUAUUAAUUUUAUAGUGAAUGGGAUUUUUAUAAUAUAAAAAAUUAUUAGCCAUUUACCCUAAGGUUACUCUGUGUCCAAAAAUACUACAAAAACUUUAGCUUGCUUAAUUUUUUUACCUCAAUUUAUAAUUUGUAUCAGUCACUCACUAAAAAAAUAGAAUUACUUCAUAAAAUGACAAAAUAGAAAAAAGUACAAAUGACAAUAGCAGUUAUUUUAUAAGGAUAAUUCAAUCCUUUUGUCACCAAAUUACACAUUAAAUUAUUUUAAAUAUUAUAAAUUAUUUUUAUACUAAGUGAUGGAUCUAAUCAUUUUAGUACUCAUGACAAUUUAAUCUAUCUAAAUAUGAAAUUUUGGAGUAAACUUAUGUUUGAGUAGGAGGAUAAUGUAAGAAAAUUUGAUACUUUUAUUCAACUGAAGAAAUUUUACAAUUUAAAUUAGAAAACGAUAAAAUUUAAUAAUUAACUAUUAUUUGAACUAAUUGAAUCGUGAGCCAUCAUUCAUUGCGGUCCCAAAAGCAUUCUACUUGUAAAAUAAACUGCAGAUUGCGGUUUGCGGACAGAUUAUCAAGGUAUUUGUUAAUAUUCGGUAUUGGAAGGAAAAGGGCAAAUGUUUCCCUUCUAUUUUGGUAAUUCUAUUCUUCUUCUUUUUCAACCCCAAAUAAUCAAAGGCUCUCCAAUGGCUUUCGUAGCUCAAUAUGCGCCCUUCUCGGCCUCCCGCCACUUCCUUCAAUAUUUUGUUUGGUUGUCUUGCUAAGACUAAACAUUAUGAUACUGUCCUUUCACUCUUCAAGAGACUUAAUUCAACUGGGUUGUUUCCAAAUCUUCAUACUUACAGUAUUUUGAUUAACUGCUUUUGCAAAAUGGGUCGAGUUUCUCAUGGUUUUGUUGUUCUUGGGAGGAUCCUCAGAUCUUGUUUUACUCCAGAUGCUGUGACCUUUACUUCUUUGAUUAAAGGUUUGUGUGCGGAGAGUAGAAUCAUGGAGGCCGCCGUAUUGUUUACAAAACUUAGAGUGUUUGGUUGUGAGCCUGAUGUUUUUACAUACAAUACUUUGAUUAAUGGAUUGUGUCGAACCGGCCAUACAAUUGUUGCUCUAAAUUUAUUUGAAGAGACGGCCAAUGGAAAUAGGAAAUUUGGUGUUGUUUGUAAGCCAGACGCUAUUACAUACAAUACUAUUAUAGAUGGUCUUUGUAAGGAAGGUUUUGUGGACAAGGCCAAGGAACUGCUUCUGAAGAUGAAGGAUGAGAAUAUUAACCCAGAUGUGGUUACUUAUACCUCUGUGAUUCGUGGUUUUUGUUAUGCUAACGAUUGGAACGAGGUGAAGCGUUUGUUUAUUGAGAUGAUGGAUCAAGGGGUACAGCCUAAUGUUGUGACUUUCAGUGUGAUCAUGGAUGAGCUCUGCAAGAAUGGGAAGAUGGACAAAGCAAGGAGGCUGUUAGAAUUGAUGAUUUGGAGAGGAGUGAAUCCCAACACAUCUACUUAUAACACAUUAAUUGAUGGUUAUUGCUUAACUGAUAAAAUAGAUCGUGCAAGGAAAUUAUUUGUUUCUAUGGAGAGUAACGGGUGCAUGCAUGAUGUUGUUAGUUACAACACAUUAAUAAAUUGGUACUGCAUGAAUAAGGAUGUAGAGGAAGCGUUAAGCCUUUAUAGUGAAAUGCUUUCUAAAGGAAUAAAGCCAACAGUUGUUCCAUAUAACACCUUGUUUCUUGGUCUUUUUGAAAUACACCAGGUUGAGCGUGCUUUAAAACUGUUUGAUGAGAUGCGGCGUAAUCAUGUGGCAGCUGAUACAUAUACAUACACUAACUUUAUUGACGGGCUCUGCAAGAAUGGUUUUGUUCUAGAGGCACUGGAAUUAUUCCGUGCUAUAAGAGAUAGCAAGUAUGAACUCAAUAUCGUAUCCUACAACUGCCUCAUUGAUGGAUUGUGUAAAAUAGGCAAUGCACAUGGUUUGUUUCUUGAUAUGGAAGCAAAAGGUGUAGCACCCGAUUGUGUCACAUUUAACACGCUGAUGCUAGGUUGCAUCCGCAAUAAUGAGACAUCAAAAGUUGUUGAACUCCUUCACAGAAUGGAUGAGAGAAAUGUAAUACCAGAUGCAUCUACACUUUCAAUUGUUGUGGACUUACUUGUAAAGGAUGAAAUUAGCUUAAACUCGAUUCCACAAUUCAAGAGUCAAAGGUAAGUGAGUUUAAUACUGAUUUAGCCGCAUGUUUCUUCUGCCUGAAAACCCAAUCUGGAGGAUCCCAUUCUUAUUACAACAUGUAAGGGAGUGUUGUCUAAUGUUGGCAUGUUCCUAGGUUCUGUCCAUGGAUUCCGUUUGCAGACAUGGCUAACUUCUUGUUCAACAGAUAAGUUUUAAAGUCUUUCAACUUUAUGUUGUAAAAUAACUUUUUUAUUAUUCAAUUCAUGAGUUUUUCUUCUAUAAC